GUAUGCGAUCAUACCAGCACUAAAGCACCGGAUCCCAUUAGAACUCUGAAGUUAAGCGUGCUUGGGCGAGAGUAGUACUAGGAUGGGUGACCUCUUGGGAAGUCCUCGUGUUGCAUUCC
rnacentral:rRNA from 2 species